UACAGAGGUCUCAAGCGUUGUUCGGAUUCAUUGGGCGUAAAGUGUGCGCAGGCGGCAAAGCAAGUCGAGUGUGAAAGCCCCGGGCUUAACUUGGGAAUUGCGCUCGAAACUACUUUGCUGGAGUGUGGCAGAGGAAGGUGGAAUUCCACGUGUAGCGGUGAAAUGCGUAGAGAUGUGGAGGAACACCAAUGGCGAAGGCAGCCUUCUGGGCCAACACUGACGCUCAUGCACGAAAGCGUGGGGAGCAAACAGG
rnacentral:rRNA from 1 species